rnacentral:rRNA from 1 species
UUGCCCUAGUAACGGCGAGUGAAGCGGCAACAGCUCAAAUUUGAAAUCUGGCUCUUUCAGGGCCCGAGUUGUAAUUUGCAGAGGGCGCUUUGGCAUUGGCAGCGGUCCAAGUUCUUUGGAACAGGACGUCACAGAGGGUGAGAAUCCCGUACGUGGUCGCUAGCCUUUGCCGUGUAAAGCCCCUUCGACGAGUCGAGUUGUUUGGGAAUGCAGCUCUAAAUGGGAGGUAAAUUUCUUCUAAAGCUAAAUACUGGCCAGAGACCGAUAGCGCACAAGUAGAGUGAUCGAAAGAUGAAAAGCACUUUGGAAAGAGAGUCAAAUAGCACGUGAAAUUGUUGAAAGGGAAGCGCUUGCAGCCAGACUUGCCUGUAGUUGCUUAUCUGGACUUUUGUCCGGUGCACUCUUCUGCGGGCAGGCCAGCAUCAGUUUGGGCGGUUGGAUAAAGGUCUCUGUCAUGUACCUCUCUUCGGGGAGGCCUUAUAGGGGAGACGACAUGCAACCAGCCUGGACUGAGGUCCGCGCAUUUGCUAGGAUGCUGGCGUAAUGGCUGUAAGCGGCCCGUCUUGAAACACGGACCAAGGAGUCUAACAUCUAUGCGAGUGUUUGGGUGUCAAGCCCAGACGCGUAAUGAAAGUGAACGGAGGUGGGAACCCUUUGGGUGCACCAUCGACCGAUCCUGAUGUCUUCGGAUGGAUUUGAGUAAGAGCAUGGCUGUUGGGACCCGAAAGAUGGUGAACUAUGCUUGAAUAGGGUGAAGCCAGAGGAAACUCUGGUGGAGGCUCGCAGCGGUUCUGACGUGCAAAUCGAUCGUCAAAUUU